GACGAACGCUGGCGGCGUGCUUAACACAUGCAAGUCGAACGAUGAAGAAGAGAAACGCGAACUUCGGUUCAACUUUCACUUCGGAUUAGUGGCAGACGGGUGAGUAACGCGUGAGCAACCUACCUCUUACAAAGGGACAGCCUCGGGAAACCGUGAUUAAUACCAUAUGACACAUUCAUAAGGCAUCUUAAGAAUGUUAAAGCUACGGCGGUAAGAGAUGGGCUCGCGUCCCAUUAGCUAGUUGGUGAGGUAACGGCCCACCAAGGCGACGAUGGGUAACCGGCCUGAGAGGGUGAACGGUCACAUUGGAACUGAGACACGGUCCAAACUCCUACGGGAGGCAGCAGUGGGGAAUAUUGCACAAUGGAGGGAACUCUGAUGCAGCGACGCCGCGUGAGCGAUGAAGGAAUUCGUUUCGUAAAGCUCUGUUCUAUGGGAAGAAAAGGACUGUACCAUAGGAGAAAGCCCCGGCUAAAUACGUG
rnacentral:rRNA from 1 species